UAUUAGCUCAACAAGAUGGUCCCAGCUAUGACAAUCAAUAGCAAAUCUUUUACAUGUUUCUGUUUUUGCCCUCAUCGCUAAACAACACCUCCCCUCCCCCCCCCCACACAUUUAAAAAAAAAUUCUAGUUCAGGCUAUGAAUUAACAUUUUCCUUUGCAGCUAUGUCUACUGGAUAGACGUGAGUGAAUGGUACAGCCAUCUCCAAUGUGUGGAACUUAGAGAAGAUAAAUAAAAGUCCGACUUCUGUUUCCUAUCAUAAUCAAUGGCUAAAAGAAUCUGUUAGGAACCAAGGUAAAAAGGAGCAAGAACCUAAGGACAUUGCACAAGAAAACCAUAGGCCAGCAGAGAUCAGGAGCUAUAUUGUGUAGAUUUGAGUGCAUUUUAUCUGCUGAAUUUGCAUUUGUAGAAUAGCACCAAAAUAACAGAAGAGCAUUACAGAAUGACACAAGAACUUCUCAGUAGCCUUUUGCUUGCAGUAAUGCCUCAGAUUGCUGUGAUUUCCCUUCUGGAAGCUAGGGCAGUAACUGGGUUUACACACUUGUUGCCCUACUGACUUCCCAUCACCACUGGUCCUCCCAUCUUCUUCCUCCCUACAUUCAUCCCUUCCCUUAUGUAAAAUGAUGCAGGAAAUCCAUAUAUAUCAUAGUUCUUUUGAAAACACUCAAGGACAGAUACUGUUACACUUACUGGGAAUGUAAGUGGAUUUAGGUGUCUAAAGCCAGGUACAGACAUUACACUUGUAUUGGCAUAAGUGAUCAGAAACCAGUCUAUACUCAGAACAGAAGUUCAGCAGACAGACUAGUUUAAAGAUGGCAGAACCCGGUCUAAGCUUUUCCCUUCCCACCAAAGGGUGAAUGUAUGUUCUGUUCACUACUGAUCUAAAUGAUGUUGCUUAUAGAAAACUGCAUAACUUUUUGAUUCCACCUUGGGCUUUUUGAAUGUUUGUACCUAGCUUAAAUGCUUGUAACUGAUGCAAUGAAACACAGUGACAUAGUAAUGAAGUUUGACACCUAGGGCACAGCCCGCACCAGCAGCCCACCCUUGCUCCACACACAGAUCUGCCCCCCCCCCCCACGCACACACUUGCCCAGGAGUGCACACAGCAGUGGGAACUGCCAUUCUCCUAUCCCUGUGCUGCCCCCUCCCCUCCAAACGAGUUGCUUGCACCUCCGUCUUGUGUCUCGCCCUGGCUGGGCAGCACCUGUUGGUUCCCCUUCAUUUUACCAUCUAGGACGCUUGCCCCAUUCUCCCCCACCCCCCUUGCUAUGGCACUGAUGAGACGCACUGUCUCCCCCUCAAGUCCCUGAAAAACUAUUAAUACAAAAUUUGGGUAGGGCCUCCUAAUCCUCACUGCCUUUUUGUGAUGCUGUCUUAAGGGUAAGAUGAUAGUAUGUUAUAAAAGUAGAUGUAUUAAUGGCUUUUCAGGGUUUUGAACAGGGUGGAGAAAAAUUGCACUGAGGCACCCAAAUCUACUUAGAUGCCCAACAAAUAGAAUCCAAUCCAGGUUUCUGGAUCUUUCUCUUACCCUUGUGCAGUAAGUCUUAUGUGUUCCACAGCAUUGACAUUGUUCUACCCUAGUGAAGGUGAGAGGAUUUGGCCCCUUUCCUUAAAUGGCUAGCAAUAUGUUAGGAAAUAUGAAAAGGGAAUGCUCCUUGGAUUAGUUGUGACAUUUCUAUAUCCUCAGUUUCUUAUCAUUCUGAAAUGGAGAAAAAUGAGUUCCAUGAGGAGGGCCAUCUACAUUUCUUUUGCUGAUACUAUAACAUAUCAACCUUGGACUUCAGGGUAUGUUAUGUUACAUGUUACAGCUUCUUCCUGGAACUUCACACCAAUAUCACAAGUAUAUUAGAAGUAGGGGUGGGGUGUUGUUGCAGCUGUGAUGGUGCAGGAAGUAUAUGAGAAGCAAGGGGUUUUCUGGUAAUAUCUUUUAAAGGACAAGCUGUACAGCUGGUUAAAAAAAAUAUUGGACAUGCUUUUGGUCACUCCUUUAGUAUUUAUAUAUCUCCUGAAGUAUAUUAUACAUGUAAGAGGGGCUUUCUUCCUUUGAAAACUCACAGUACACGGAUAAAGAUGUAGAGGACACGAUUAACUAUUUUUUUACAUUCUAGGCAGGGUUUAUUGUUGGUAUUUGCCUGUGAAAACGCAGAGAUGUAGCAUCUUUGAGAAAUAAUGGUUAUAUUAGCUGUCAUGGGUCAAAUUCUGGUCCCAGUUACAAUUGGUACAAAUUAGGAAAAGUUCCAGUGAAGUCAAUGGCAGUACCCAGGACUUACACCAGUUUCCAGACAGGGCCCUUGGUUCAGAGUUCUUACAGUGUAAAAGAUUUUAGUGUAGGUGAAGUUCAUGAUGGAUAAAAACAACUACUUUUUUUAAGUUGGGAUGGGGGAGGGGGAGCCAGAUGAAGUUCGAACAGUUUCCAAACAUCAUUCAUUGCCAGUAUUUGAUUAGGGGCUUUAAUUUCAUUAGACAAACUGAUUUUUUCAUUAGACAAACUGAUUUUCCCAUACACUCUCUCCUUUUAAUGCGUCAAUUACAUGGAAUUUGACUCUCAUUACAAUAUUGAUAUGAAUGCUGUCUUCAAAUGGACACCAGCACCAAGGCUUUUAUCUGGGUUGGACCAGGUUUAGGAAGAAACAGUGGGAAAGAAAAUGUAAGGUUUCUAAAAACAAGCCAUCACCACACCUGCCCAGCAGAACUUUGCCUGUUCGUCAUGUUGUACUCAGAUCACUCUUGUGCUGCUUUGUGUUUUACCCAAAGGGUGCCUGAAGCCAAAGCAGAUCAACCAGUGAUCUUAUCAGAUUUCACAAGGUAAGUAGUGUCAGGUCUAGUUAGUCUAUGAAUAAGACAACUCUACGGGGAAAACAAUUUCAUUCUGCAGGAGCUGGUGUCGUUACUGAAUUGAUGCUAUAGCAUGGAGAAAGCAGACACUGUUCUACUCAUUGUAUCGCAUCCAUGUAAGAGACCUGGACUAGUUGUGGUCAUUUGAGCUCUGGUCACAAGCAACAACCCUGGUGCAAAUGCUAAUUCCACCAUCUGAAUUUUCCUCACAUCAAUAGGUACCUUAUGCUGUAUUUCAUAUUCUAAAGCUUAGUGUAGUGUGGUGUUAAAUAGAUCUGUAUCUGCUGCUACAUGCCACUCUAGAAGUGGCUGCAUGUCAGUAACAAGUGAAGCGAUUUCUGGCUAUAUCAAGAAAAGAACUUGUUUGUGCACACACAGAAGAUGGCUCACUCAUGAAAACCUGAUCUCAGGUAAGCAAUGUUUAUUCAUAUUAACAGUUCCAUUGACUGAACUGGGACUACUAACAGGACUAAUCAUUAUGCAUGCUUAUCACAGUACGAUUUUGCAUAAUCAAACACAGUUUGAUUGACACUUUGGGAUGGAAAGCGUUAGUACAUUGGAUACCGGUAAAUGCCUUCAGUUCAAAAAGUUGCCUAUUCCUAACUUUAAGCAUGAAAAUAGUUGUGUGUUUAGACAAUUGGUGGGAGUAUUCCCAUCCUGACAAUGAGGUGCAUGCUUGCCUUGCUGAAUCGGAGCUAUUACAAUUUGUUUUUGUUUGACCAGAUUCUUUUUCUUUUAACUUCAGUUGAGUAUCUCUACCCACAUACUUUAUUCUUAUACUUUGCUUCCUCCUUUACUGCCAUGAAAUAGUGUAAAACCCACACUGUAUUUUUUUAUAUAUGGGAAAGCAAAUGAAUGUUGGGUGAAUGAUAAACUUAUGUAAUGACAUGGAGAGGAAGUCAAAAGAGUGCAAAUAUUAUUUUCUCUGUGUUCUUUUUGACCAGCCUAUGCAGCUAAUGGGUUAUUGGGACAGAAAUGAGAGCUCAAGUUUCAAAAUUUCCAUAAUCAGGAAUGGACUCUUUCAUAUACAAGAGCAUUCAUCAUCAGGUAGAAUUCGAGAUGUCAGUGAUCCCCUACAAAACCCAAAUUAGAAUGUAACCCAGUUGUUCUAGCAGUUGGUUGCCGUUACAGUAGCUCACCUUAGUAGUGAGGGUCUUGCUGUUGAUUAUGACGGAAGAAGUCUCCAGGACUCCUGCAAGAGGGUUUUCAUAGGAGAUUGAAAUCUGUGUUCUUCAGCAAUCUACCAAUUAAACGACCUCCAAGGAAUGAAGUAAGGAAUGAGCUUCCCUUUCAUUUGAUCUUUGAUUCUUUCUUGGGUGAUUCCUUUUUCCCCAAAAGGAAAAGAAAUAAAUGAUUAUUUAUGUUUUGAAGGCAGAGCUAUUCUACAAAGACACCCAGUAUUGUAAAUGUAUGAUAUAAUAUGCAGGUUUGGUCAACUUCCAAAAAAACACCUAGUUCAUAAGGCUAUAUGCAGCCUAUAUAAAAAAUAAAACGUGGGUAAACUGAGUCACUCCCUGAUUUUUGUUCUAAUAAAGAUAAUAUGCUAAUGAAAAAUAAAUUACAGAUACAGCUUUUCUUUUGUCCUUUGUUUUCAGUUUCAGGCCAUCUAUCUAGAUCUGUACCUGUAUGUGCUAUUCAGCCAUGUCUCUCUAUUGUGUACACCCCUCUCACUUUAAAUACAUCCCUCAACCUUAAGUUAAUAUUAGGGCUUUAAGAGACCUGAGAAAAAAACCUGAUUUCAUUUGAAGUUCUCUGAAGUACUAUCCUUAUUCCAAGCCAUGCUUUGUGCAUAGGAUUUUUUCUGUACAGGGUUUUAACUUUGUUUUUGUGUGUUAUCAUUAUUUUACCAGCAUGUAUAACGUAUUUCCCACUUUACAACUGUGGUAAAUAUAAAUGCAAAAAUUAUACAUUCAGUUGAAUAUAGAGAAAUAAACUCAAGCAGGUCUUGAA